rnacentral:rRNA from 1 species
UACGUAGGGUGCAAGCGUUGUCCGGAAUUAUUGGGCGUAAAGAGCUCGUAGGCGGUUUGUCGCGUCUGCUGUGAAAACCCGCAGCUCAACUGUGGGCUUGCAGCUGAUACGGGCAGGCUUGAGUUCGGUAGGGGAGACUGGAAUUCCUGGUGUAGCGGUGAAAUGCGCAGAUAUCAGGAGGAACACCGGUGGCGAAGGCGGGUCUCUGGGCCUUACCUGACGCUGAGGAGCGAAAGCGUGGGGAGCGAACAGG